ACCUCAUGAUUUGGGCAUUGCGCUAGCUUUCCAUUAAACCUCUCCCACACUUCAAACAAUGGUUCUCCAUUCAAUUACUAAAAAUUUACAAUCUCAUCCCACUUUUGAAGAU